rnacentral:rRNA from 1 species
AGUCGAACGGCAGCGCGGGAGCAAUCCUGGCGGCGAGUGGCGAACGGGUGAGUAAUACAUCGGAACGUGCCCAAUCGUGGGGGAUAACGCAGCGAAAGCUGUGCUAAUACCGCAUAAGAUCUACGGAUGAAAGCAGGGGAUCGCAAGACCUUGCGCGAAUGGAGCGGCCGAUGGCAGAUUAGGUAGUUGGUGAGGUAAAGGCUCACCAAGCCUUCGAUCUGUAGCUGGUCUGAGAGGACGACCAGCCACACUGGGACUGAGACACGGCCCAGACUCCUACGGGAGGCAGCAGUGGGGAAUUUUGGACAAUGGGCGCAAGCCUGAUCCAGCCAUGCCGCGUGCAGGAUGAAGGCCUUCGGGUUGUAAACUGCUUUUGUACGGAACGAAAAGUCUCUUUCUAAUAAAGAGGGAUCAUGACGGUACCGUAAGAAUAAGCACCGGCUAACUACGUGCCAGCAGCCGCGGUAAUACGUAGGGUGCAAGCGUUAAUCGGAAUUACUGGGCGUAAAGCGUGCGCAGGCGGUUAUGUAAGACAGUUGUGAAAUCCCCGGGCUCAACCUGGGAACUGCAUCUGUGACUGCAUAGCUAGAGUACGGUAGAGGGGGAUGGAAUUCCGCGUGUAGCAGUGAAAUGCGUAGAUAUGCGGAGGAACACCGAUGGCGAAGGCAAUCCCCUGGACCUGUACUGACGCUCAUGCACGAAAGCGUGGGGAGCAAACAGGAUUAGAUACCCUGGUAGUCCACGCCCUAAACGAUGUCAACUGGUUGUUGGGUCUUCACUGACUCAGUAACGAAGCUAACGCGUGAAGUUGACCGCCUGGGGAGUACG